CGGAUUGGAGGCUGAAACUCGCCUCCAUGAAGUUGGAUUCGCUAGUAAUCGCGCAUCAGCCAUGGCGCGGUGAAUACGUUCCCGGGCCUUGUACACACCGCCCGUCAAGCCAUGGGAGUUGGGGGUGCCUGAAGUUCGUGACCGCAAGGAGCGACCUAGGGCAAAACUAAUGACUGGGGCUAAGUCGUAACAAGGUAAC
rnacentral:rRNA from 1 species